UAUUCCCUAAUAAACCAGGUGAAUAUGAUUUAGAUUUUUUAAAUUUUUUUUCUUUACAGUAUGAAAAUCUUCAAGAGGAAGCAGAUAAGCAGAAAUAUCACCUGCAAAUCCCUGACAUGCUGAGAGAAACUCUUGGGACUGCAUUCAUAUUCAGAAGUAAGAGAGAAUUUUUUGGCAUGGGAUUAACCAGAAGAGCUGCUGGGGGUUGAGGGGGAGUGAUAUGGGCAGCCACUGCUCCUGAGAAGGAUGCUGUGAGCUGCAAGGAGGGCUUGCAUUAACAGACUGAGUGGAUGCUCUUAAUCCUCUUCAGUGCAAUUGCCAAGGUUAGGGGAAGUGACCAGUAAGCAACAUCUCCUGCCUUCACGUGGGUCACAAAUUCAAGGUUUUCUCUGUGUGUGCAGAAUUUCUCAUUGCCUUAAA
rnacentral:lncRNA from 1 species